UACGUAGGGUGCGAGCGUUAAUCGGAAUUACUGGGCGUAAAGCGUGCGCAGGCGGUUUUGUAAGCCAGAUGUGAAAGCCCCGGGCUUAACCUGGGAAUGGCAUUUGGGACUGCAAGGCUUGAGUGCGGCAGAGGAGACUGGAAUUCCUGGUGUAGCAGUGAAAUGCGUAGAUAUCAGGAGGAAUACCGAUGGCGAAGGCAGGGCUCUGGGCUGACACUGACGCUCAUGCACGAAAGCGUGGGGAGCAAACAGG
rnacentral:rRNA from 1 species